rnacentral:tRNA from 1 species
GGUGGCUCAGUGGUAGAGUGCUUGCCUUGCAUGCAUGAGGCCCUGGGUUGGAUUCCCAGCACCA